UAGCUAGCUUUAGCUUUAGCUGAAUUAGCUAACGUUAAUAUUUGCUAAAACAAAACGGUACAGACUGAAUCUUUCUAACAGUUAACGUCAGAUUCAAAACACGGCUUCGCUAAAAUAAUGGGUAAUUACAGUCAAUAACACAAAUAAAACAUUGUUCUUGAUUUCAGUUUAAUUACCAAACUUAUUUUCUUCUUCUAAUAUUUAUUACAUUUUAGCUUCUAAAGAGACACAAAUACAAAAAUGUCCUCCCAACUUUGAUGUUUUGAAACUUAGAUACACUGCCUGUUGUUGGUAUAUUCACACACACACACACACACACACACACACACACACGUCAUAGUAUUGGGUCAGGAUUUCAUAGAUUGUGUAUAAGAAAGUGGAUCUAUCAGUGUAUUAAACAACUGACUAUUAAUUGCUUCUCAUGAAGUGAAAGGAAGUUUUAUCACUCUCAUACUGUGUAAUAUCCUUUACUGCCACCUGAAGGUUUCUGCAGACAGAAGAUUUCAACGAUUAAACCUUCUGCCCUCUGGCCACAGUCCUCAGCUGUCAGACAUUAAAGAAUGAGCAAAAACGUAUCAUGUUGAUGACUAUAUUUACAUAAUUUGCUGUCUAUCACAGUGUUACAGAUUUGUUCAAAUGUGUCAGGAUAAAUUAGGUAUGUACCUACACUAAGUGAUGUUGGAGAAUUAGUAGAAAGUAAAAAUAGUGUUUCUGUGAAAAUGAAACUCAAGAGACAAACGGAAGUAGUAGAGUUGCAAGCGAGUGGAGAUGAGGUAAAAGCUGUGCACACACAGCUAUGCAGUGGUUGAGGUAACACCCGGAGUAUAUAAAGCAUGUUGAGGUCUCAUCUCAGCUAUCCUUCCGUUUACCCAGCAGGUAAGAUCAGAAACUGUAACUCACUAUCAGAUGAUUUAUACUGUAGACCUUUUAAUAUUACAGUUCACAACUUAAGUUAGUUUAAGUUAAGUUGCAAUUCCUCAUUGAUGCUUUCAUAUCAUUUUUAUUUCACAGCGAUGACAGCAGCAGCUUUGUCCAGAAGCAGAGGAGUGGCUGGUGUCACAGCCACCAGAGGCCUGUUCUUCAUCUUCUCCCUGCUGUAUUUGGUUUGCCUUGCAAGUUCAUUCAUUGACGAGGACCAACUGGAAAAGCAAAAGGAAGAUCUCCAGAAAGCAGAACAACAACUGGAAAGUUUGAAGGAACAGUACAAAUUAGAAAUGGCCUCCAGUUUAGAGCUCAUAGAUGAAUAUAUGGGCUACCUGGACCCAAUGAUGGCAUUAGUGAAGAAAACUACAGGAACAUCACCUGAUGACUUUCCACCAAUGGAUGCACUUCUGCAGAGCGUCAAGGCCUACAUGGAGAAAACCAAGAGUUACGUGGAAGACAAAAAAGUGAAGUUAGGUGCAAAACUAGAGAACAUUGAAAAGGAUCUUGAAAAAAAAAAGAAAUUAAUCAAAUUCCUUGAGGAGCAGCAGGGUGAAUUGUAACUUCCAUGUCAAUUAGUGCCUCUAUCUCUGAUAUUGCAUCUAUUGUACCUAAGUUACUACCUUAAAUUUCUCUUUGUUUGUGCAACCUCAUUUCAAAAUGAUUUUAGAGUCACUGUUGACAGGGAUGUGAAAUCAGUGUUCUGUGGUUUCACAGGAAGUGAAAGUGAAUUA
rnacentral:lncRNA from 15 species